rnacentral:ncRNA from 1 species
AAUAUUUGCUAGGGGUGCCGAAAGGCUGAGAGACGAAACGUUAACCCUUGUACCUGAUCUGGAUAAUACCAGCGUAGGAAAGCUUGAUAAUAUAUUA